GAUGAACGCUGGCGGCGUGCCUAAUACAUGCAAGUCGAGCGAACGGACGAGAAGCUUGCUUCUCUGAUGUUAGCGGCGGACGGGUGAGUAACACGUGGAUAACCUACCUAUAAGACUGGGAUAACUUCGGGAAACCGUAGCUAAUACCGGAUAAUAUUUUGAACCGCAUGGUUCAAAAGUGAAAGACGGUCUUGCUGUCACUUAUAGAUGGAUCCGCGCUGCAUUAGCUAGUUGGUAAGGUAACGGCUUACCAAGGCAACGAUGCAUUGCCGACCUGAGAGGGUGAUCGGCCACACUGGAACUGAGACACGGUCCAGACUCCUACGGGAGGCAGCAGUAGGGAAUCUUCCGCAAUGGGCGAAAGCCUGACGGAGCAACGCCGCGUGAGUGAUGAAGGUCUUCGGAUCGUAAAACUCUGUUAUUAGGGAAGAACAUAUGUGUAAGUAACUGUGCACAUCUUGACGGUACCUAAUCAGAAAGCCACGGCUAACUACGUG
rnacentral:rRNA from 1 species